CAGGAACUGUUCACAGAAAAGUGAGAAGCCAUGUAGAAUGACUGGGAAAGGAGACCACUGGGUGAAAUAAAACUUGUCAUCUUUUGGAUUAGAAGAGAGAGGGAAAAAGAACCUUUUUUCUCUAGUGUUGGGUAGAGAAAAGCAAAUAAUUUUGAGGCUUUCAGAAGCAGGACAGAGGCAAAAAAAAAAAAAAGGUUUUUUUGUUAGUUUUUCUUGUUUUCUUAUUCUUAAAGUCUUUGGCAGAAGAAUGAAGGAAGGCAAGCUGAGUUUCUUUUGAACAGCUGUGAGGCAAAGAAAAGAAAGAUGUGCAAGGUGUGUGUUCAU
ensembl:lncRNA